rnacentral:lncRNA from 1 species
UUAAUAACAAAAUCUUUAAUACUUCGCAGCGGAAUUUAUUCAAUAACUAAAACCAGUCUUUGGCACUAAGGCCUCUUUACAAUUAUGUCAUAAAAAUCCAUUCUAAAAACAUAGUCAUAAUUCUUCAAAAACAAUACGUAAGGAAUAGAAAGCAAUAACAAAGUUCCCAUCCCGUUACGUAUCAGAGCACCUAGAGACACUUGAGCCACCACUCCUACUAAUCAUUAAUACCUGCAAGUUACUCAUACGAAGAGCAACAUUUUCAAGCAGAAGGGGUGUGAUUUCACAAAACAAUAAUAUCAAGCAUAUAAUUCAAUAAUUAUAUUUAACAACAUAAAUAACUUCAUCUAUUAGUAAUAAUAAUUUUUCAUGUAAUAAUUCUUAAUAGUUCAACCAACUUCUAAUUAUCAUUUACUUCAUAUUCAUCACAUUAUAAACAUCAUCAUAUAACACAUAAUAACCAAAUCAUAACCAACAUAGAUCAUCACAUCAUAGUUCAUAUACAACAUAACAACAUCUUAGUCAUAAUUCAUAUACAACAUAACAACAUCAUUAAUUCGUAAUAGUACUUAUUCAUCAAACAUCUCAUUAUCAAUUCAUGAAUAAAAGACAACUUAUCAAUUUAACAUAAACAUCAUCAAGUACACUUAACAACUCAUAGAUAUCAUCAUCACUAAUAACUUUAAAACAACACAAUGUAAUCAACAUCUCACUAUAAUAAUAAUCAUAUAUGACACAACAUAAUCAUCGCUUAAUAAUAAUAAUCAUAUACAAUACAACAUAAAUCAUCAUCUUAUAACGACAUGAACAACACAUAUUAAUCAUCUUAAUUAUAUAAUAACAACAUAUACAUCAUCUCGUCAUAAUAUAAUAAUAUAACAACAACAUAUUCAUCUUCAUAUAAUAAUAUAACAGCAACAACAUAUUCAUCAUCUUAUCAAAAUAUAAUCAACACAUACUAACACCAUAAUCAACAUAAACAUCUUAAACAUAAUCAUCUUAAACAAUAUCAUCUUAAACAUCAUAGCAUCUUUGAUAAACAAUUACCAAGUAAUCACAACAUUCGAUCAUCAUCAAUAACAUAACAAUAUCAUAAUCAAUAUCUUAAACAACAUAGCAACAUCUUAGUCAACAUCAUAUAAUUCACAUCAUAAACAUCGUAUAAUCUUCAUAGCUACUUCUUUAACAACACAUGGGUAGAAGACAACUCGUCAACUCAUAGAUGAUAAUUCAUCGACAACUUAACAACUCAUGGAUGAUAAUUCAUCAACAACGACCUUGACUCGACAAAUGCGACAAUGCAACUUAUACACUUAUAUGCAUGUGGUACCAAUCGUCAUCAUAAGUAUUAAUAUACUUUAAUCGUGCGGAGGACAAAGCUCCUAAACGUGCGGAGGACAAAGCUCCUAAUCGUGGUCAGGACAAAGCUCAAUGAAUGUUAAUGCAUGGACUCUAUCAACAAGACACUUUAAUCAACUUAUCACUUAUACAUCCAAUAAUUUGGAGUUCAUCAUCAACUUAUUCAUACUAAUAAUCGUGCGGAGGACAAAGCUCCUAAUAUAAUUCAAUAAUAUUUCGAGUAAUGCAUUUAAUCAUUAAAUCACAUUAUAAACAACUUAGCAGUUCAUAACAGCAACAGAAACAGCACAAGCAAUUCACAACAUAACAAUAUUAAUAUAAAGUAUAUUAAUAUGGCGUCAGGUUCGCCAGUGACAUUGCUUGAAGCGAGAUCUGCCUUCAACUGCUUCUUUUCUUCCUUCACUGCACCGGCGAGAUCUGCCUUCGCUGCAACGGCGAGAUCUUCAUUCACAGCACCGGCGGCGGCGGCCUCGCCCUCAAGGUCAUCAUACAAGAGUUUGUUGACUUCUACCGCUGUUGGUAAAUCGGUAGUUGUAACAUCCCGUUUUCCCAACAUAAAAAUUUCAUUUAAUAAUCAAAGUUAUUCACGUAAACGGAAUGCUACACUUCUUUUCUUAAAAUCAUAAACUGAAUAAAUAACUAUUUAUCAUUUAAAAUUUAAUAACAAAAUCUUUAAUACUUCGCAGCGGAAUUUAUUCAAUAACUAAAACCAGUCUUUGGCACUAAGGCCUCUUUACAAUUAUGUUAUAAAAAUCCAUUCUAAAAACAUAGUCAUAAUUCUUCAAAAACAAUACGUAAGGAAUAGAAAGCAAUAACAAAGUUCCCAUCCCGUUACGUAUCAGAGCACCUAGAGACACUUGAGCCACCACUUCUACUGAUCAUUAAUACCUGCAAGUUACUCAUACGAAGAGCAACAUUUUCAAGCAGAAGGGGUGAGAUUUCACAAAACAAUAAUAUCAAGCAUAUAAUUCAAUAAUUAUAUUUAACAACAUAAAUAACUUCAUCUAUUAGUAAUAAUAAUUUUUCAUGUAAUAAUUCUUAAUAGUUCAACCAACUUCUAAUUAUCAUUUACUUCAUAGUCAUCACAUUAUAAACAUCAUCAUAUAAUACAUAAUAACCAAAUCAUAACCAACAUAGAUCAUCACAUCAUAGUUCUGUUGAAACAAAAAUCUUUUUGAUGAAUGUUUUAAUGAUAACAAACCUUAUGGAAUAAAGACUAAGUUUUAUGAAUAGUGAUCUACUGAUGGUUGCACUUAAGUGUUUUCACAGAAGUAGACAAGAAAGAAGUCUCUUACAAGUGCAUAUAAAUACUCAGUAGAAGAACACCAAAACAAUCGCAUCACAAGCUCAAAGAAGAUAUCAAAAGAAUAUUGUUUGAAUCAAAUGAGUGUUUAUUGAAGAUUCAACAAGAAGAUAUAUUUUAUGAGCAAUUGACUCAUCCUCACCACCGCUUGGUUUUCAAUAAAGUCUUAAAGAUUCGAGGAAUAAAGGGUUAAUAUUUGAAAGAAAUGAUCUUCAAAUAGUUUCUAAAAGAGUUUAAGGCACAAAAGUUUCAUUCAAGAGAAUGAAUGUACCUUCAUGUUUACAUGCAUGCCUAAGCUAAAACAUCUCAAAGAUACUCAAUGGACAAAAAACAUUGUGUGCAAUCACCAAGAGAAAUUAUGUGCUAAAUUGCAUCAUCAACAAAAUAAUUCACGGUUAAUUAACCGAGAAUGUAUUGUCAUCUCAUAUAGAAGAAAACAUUAUCAACUCCGACGAAAGAAUGGUCUCAUGAUAAGGAUGCAUAUUACACUCGAAAUUAUUCUCAUCAUUUCAUCAAAAUGAUUAGAAUCAACUUUGAAGAGAAACCAAUUCAUGAAUAAAUUAUUUAUCAAGUCAUUCAUUAAUGAUAUUGAUAUCAAAAAAGAAAAUUCAUGAUCAUAUACUUGGAGAUUAUAUCAUAAAAGACUUAUGAUAGUCCAAGAAUCUUACAUCACUAUUCAAGAUAUGAUUUGGAGAAUAGAAAUCAAUCAAAGGAAUUUUGACUUUGAAAAAGGUUUCUCAUGUUCCUACAAAUAUCAUUCUUGUCAUACAAAGUGAAGAAAGCAUCCUCAUUUGAUGUUUUAAAAGAUAACAAAAAUAUUACAAUUAUUAUUUUGUUAUUCACUAAUGUGUUUUGUGAGAAUGUUUCAGUGAGAAUGUUCUGGAGAACGUUCUGGUCACUGUUCACAAAGCAAAUAAAUAAUUUUCAUCAAAAGACAAAUCAUCAAAAUGGAAAGCAUGACAUAAAUCCAAUACAAGAAUUUGUCUUGGGCUUAAAUGAUUUUUGAUCCAUUUGAAGCAAAGCUCAUUAAGGAAUAUGUCUCCAAAGUUACUAUCAUAUGACAUCAUCAAAGACAUCAUCUUAUGGCAUCAUGCAAUGACAUCAAGAUUACAUCAUCAUAAGUGGCCUCCAAGCUUCUACAAUCAAGAGAACAACUGGUUGCACUUUUACAACUCAUUACAGCUAGUAAAAGCGUGUCAAAUAUUUCUCAAGUCUAGCUGUAUGCAGAGAAUGUUCUGGAGAACGUUCUGCAAGUGCAAAAUUUCAUGUUUUCUCUCCAAGCAUCAAGUGGAGCCAAUUUUUCAGUUUGAAAUGAGUUCCAACAGCUCUUUUUUAGCUUGAUCUCCAAGACAUACAUCUUCUAUAAAUAGAGGACGUCUAUGAAGGUUAAAAGCAAGAGUUUGAAACACAAAGCAUUUAUCUCUCUCAAAGCAAAAGGCUAUCAAUCUCUUCAUCAAUGUCUUUUUCAAUCACAAAGCAAACUCCAUAAUCUUUCACUAUAUUUAUCAUCUUUAUCUCUCAUUGAGAACAUCUUUUUGAGUUUGUAUUUGUAAAAGGAUAGUUUGUUUGAGACACAAAGAUCCAAACAACAUCCUACAUAUUUUUGUUUGAGACGCUAGAUCCAAACAACAUCUUUCUUAUUUUUGUUUGAGACAUUAGAUCCAAACAAUCAUCCUACAAAGUGAUAACUAGAUCUCAAGUCUAUUGGGCUUAAUAGUUUGAGAUAGGAAGAGUUCCAACCUUUCUUGUGCGAAAGCAAAGAAUUGUAGAAGCCUGCUGAGGUUGAUAAUACAGGGGUUACAGACUGAUCUGGUGUGAUCAAGACCUUAUAGUGUUGGUUAGAAGUUUCUACCACUGUAUACUAUAAUGGAUAAUCUCACACGAAGUGUGGGGACUGGAAGUAGCCGAGUUUGGUGAACCAGGAUAACUCUUUUGUGUUAUUCUUCUCCCUCUCUCUCUCUCUCUCUCUAUCUUUUAUUUUUACACGAUAUGCACACACUAUCACAAGCAUUAAUAUUUAUUUAUCUCCAGAAUGUUCUGGUCCUAAUUAAUCACAACCAAAUUAAUCCAGAGUUCUCUGGUCCUUAAUUAACCAUAAUAUUAUUUUAUCAUUCAGUUUAAAUAAUUAAUCUUAUAAUUGUUAUCCAGAAUAUUCUGGUCCUAAUAUUACUUCUUAAUAUUUAUAUUCUUCCAGAGUUCUCUGGUCCUUGGUAUUUAUUAAUAUUGUUUUAGUAUUUCAGUCUCUUUAUUAAUUAUAUAAUUAUUAUCCAGAACAUUCUGGUCCUUAAUAAAACAAUUGUUUAAAUAUAUAAAUAUUUCAUAAUCUUCUUCUAUCUAACAUUUACCAAGAAUUUUCUUGAGUAUAUAAAGUUGUUAAGUUUCAGGAUUAAAAAAAAAAAAAGGGUCACAAUUCAAACCCCCCCUUUCUUGUGACUAUUUAUUUCACUUCAAGUUCAUAUACAACAUAACAACAUCAUUAAUUCGUAAUAGUACUUAUUCAUCAAACAUCUCAUUAUCAAUUCAUGAAUAAAAGACAGCUUAUCAAUUUAACAUAAACAUCAUCAAGUACACUUAACAACUCAUAGAUAUCAUCAUCACUAAUAACUUUAAAACAACACAAUGUAAUCAAAAUCUCACUAUAAUAAUAAUCAUAUAUGACACAACAUAAUCAUCGCUUAAUAAUAAUAAUCAUAUACAAUACAACAUAAAUCAUCAUCUUAUAACGACAUGAACAACACAUAUUAAUCAUCUUAAUUAUAUAAUAACAACAUAUACAUCAUCUCGUCAUAAUAUAAUAAUAUAACAACAACAUAUUCAUCUUCAUAUAAUAAUAUAACAGCAACAACAUAUUCAUCAUCUUAUCAAAAUAUAAUCAACACAUACUAACACCAUAAUCAACAUAAACAUCUUAAACAUAAUCAUCUUAAACAAUAUCAUCUUAAACAUCAUAGCAUCUUUGAUAAACAAUUACCAAGUAAUCACAACAUUCGAUCAUCAUCAAUAACAUAACAAUAUCAUAAUCAAUAUCUUAAACAACAUAGCAACAUCUUAGUCAACAUCAUAUAAUUCACAUCAUAAACAUCGUAUAAUCUUCAUAGGUACUUCUUUAACAACACAUGGGUAGAAGACAACUCGACAACUCAUAGAUGAUAAUUCAUCGACAACUUAACAAAUCAUGGAUGAUAAUUCAUCAACAACGACCUUGACUCGACAAAUGCGACAAUGCAACUUAUACACUUAUAUGCAUGUGGUACCAAUUGUCAUCAUAAGUAUUAAUAUACUUUAAUCGUGCGGAGGACAAAGCUCCUAAACGUGCGGAGGACAAAGCUCCUAAUCGUGGUCAGGACAAAGCUCAAUGAAUGUUAAUGCAUGGACUCUAUCAACAAGACACUUUAAUCAACUUAUCACUUAUACAUCCAAUAAUUUGGAGUUCAUCAUCAACUUAUUCAUACUAAUAAUCGUGCGGAGGACAAAGCUCCUAAUAUAAUUUAAUAAUAUUUCGAGUAAUGCAUUUAAUCAUUAAAUCACAUUAUAAACAACUUAGCAGUUCAUAACAGCAACAGAAACAGCACAAGCAAUUCACAACAUAACAAUAUUAAUAUAAAGUAUAUUAAUAUGGCGUCAGGUUCGCCAGUGACAAUGCUUGAAGCGAGAUCUGCCUUCAACUGCUUCUUUUCUUCCUUCACUGCACCGGCGAGAUCUGCCUUCGCUGCAACGGCGAGAUCUUCAUUCAAUGCACCGGCGGCGGCGGCCUCGCCCUCAAGGUCAUCAUACAAGAGUUUGUUGACUUCUACCGCUGUUGGUAAAUCGGUAGUUGUAACACCCCAUUUUCCCAACAUAAAAAUUUCAUUUAAUAAUCAAAGUUAUUCACGUAAACGGAAUGCUACACUUCUUUUCUUAAAAUCAUAAACUGAAUAAAUAACUAUUUAUCAUUUAAAAUUUAAUAACAAAAUCUUUAAUACUUCGCAGCGGAAUUUAUUCAAUAACUAAAACCAGUCUUUGGCACUAAGGCCUCUUUACAAUUAUGUUAUAAAAAUUCAUUCUAAAAACAUAGUCAUAAUUCUUCAAAAACAAUACGUAAGGAAUAGAAAGCAAUAACAAAGUUCCCAUCCCGUUACGUAUCAGAGCACCUAGAGACACUUGAGCCACCACUCCUACUAAUCAUUAAUACCUGCAAGUUACUCAUACGAAGAGCAACAUUUUCAAGCAGAAGGGGUGAGAUUUCACAAAACAAUAAUAUCAAGCAUAUAAUUCAAUAAUUAUAUUUAACAACAUAAAUAACUUCAUC